CAUUUGCCAUCAGCUUCCCUCGCUUCAUCCGUUAGCAAGUUUUGACGCGUCGGGCAAUCGUCGUCAAGCGUUUUCAAUUUCAUUAAAAGAGGAAACACCGGGCGGAAUUGGGAGGGCGCGGGGGGCGCUGGCAGGAAGCUUCAUGCAAAA
ensembl:ncRNA T27B1.9 ncRNA